rnacentral:rRNA from 1 species
AUGAUGGAGAACUUUUUUUAUCUCACCGAUGUGAUUGUGGCUUUUUUUGGGCUCAAAUAUGUGGAGAACUGUGAUGGGAAUUCAAUGAGAGAGUUCAAGCAGGUACACAUUUUUAUUUUUUUGUCUUGUCAUUUUGUUGCAAUCUACUUUCUUUGUUUUCAAUACUCAUGCAACACAAGAAUAACUAGUAUCAUAUUUGCCUACUUUUUGCAUUCAUUUUUACAGGAAGACAUGGCGCAAUAUCACAUGGAUGUGGAGCACAACCUCUUCAUUCAGCCAAUGAACAAUGCCCCAAUGGAGCGGUCAUUCAGGGAAGAGUUGGCGGCUUAA